CAGGAACAGGCCUUUCCCUCCAGCAGCCAGGUGAGUUGUUUUAUCUUAGUUGUACAUUAGCUAAAAAGCAGCUAGCUACACAUUCUUGUUUAGACACCUGGAUUAGCAAUGCUCAUUACAAAUGACAGGUAUUUUACACCUUUGUCUCUUCAUUGUUGUUGUUAGUCAGGUCUCCAUGUGGCUGUAAAGACGUUUGGCUCUUUGAAACAUCCACACAACUACGUUUUACUUUUUAAAUUCAGCUCUUUUCAGCUCUGCCGGACCUGUUUUAUUCUGAAACUCUGGAGAACUCUGGUCGUGUUGUAGUCUGGACGGACAGAAAGUGAGACCUCUGUAAACGAUGAGGUCACAGCCAGGGUCUCUCCUGAUUGGCUGUCAUCAGCCUGGACUACCAGUGGUGAAUACAACAUGAUAAUGAAUGACAGUGUUACUGACCUUGUUGUCUUUGCAGCAGCUGCUGUUCACUUACAUUCUCUGUUUUAAUGCUACAACUGUCUCUGCUGUUCCUCCUUCAGAGGCUUUACUGCAGAGGAGACAACCUACUUCCUGUUUACACCGGCUCGCACACGCUCAGUGCAGGUGAUGGUCAUGUGAUGUGUGUUUUCAGUUGUGUUGGUCUGGAUGGAGAUCUUUUUCCUCGUACAAUAAAAACAGAGGUGUGGACGAAGCCUCAGCAAAGUGCUAAGAGCUGUUGUGAAGAAUUGUUUAGACCUGAGCUCUUCAAACAGUCUGAUGAAGACUUCAGUGUGUGGGACUCUCCUUAUAUCUCAGUCCUCUGGAUGAUGCAGAGGAAACGCUCUUCACGCUCAGAGGGAGGUGAGUCAACAUGUCUCUACUUCAGAUGAACUGUGACACAGAAACCACACUGAUAUCUGAUAUCUGUUUGUUUGAUCCUUUCAUCUCAUGUGUACAACCUGGAUCCUCCUGUUCAACUCCUCUCUCAUCUCUCCGUCAGCUGCAACACCUCCACCCAGUUUUUAAUGAACACUCCUGUCGUUAGUUUCAUCGUCCAUCAGCUGCUGAACGCUUCGUUAGAUUUCAACACGACCGACCCGUGUCUCCACGCCGGCGACGGCCAUUUUGUUUUCAUGUCGUCUGUCCAUACAUCCAUCCGUCUCAUUCUGGAGGACACAGUAUCUCAGUGACGCAUCGACGGAACGUCUUCAGAUUUGGCACAAACAUUCACCUGGACUCAAGGAUGAACUGAUUAGAUUUUGGUGGCUAAAGGUCAAAGGUCAAAGGCCAAUUCUGGAAUGACUCUGGAUAAACAGGGAUGUAACCUGGAACUAGUCUGAGUGGCGGAGGGAUGCGACCACGAGGUUUUGCAGAAGGACACUGACUGGUAUGAAAACACUAAACUGGACAAAAAGGUGCACAGAGCCUCAGAAGUGAUGAGCUGGGAGCUGACUGACAUCCACGCCAUCAGAUUACAGACAACGUGACCCCAGAUCCUUCAUGCCUCCUCUCAGCUCUUUACCUUCCUCCUCCUUUAUGAAGCUGGAAGCAUCAGAACCAGGACGGCCGGGUUCCUCCACCCAGAGGCUCCUCAUGCCCUUAAUUCAUACAUCACUAAUGUGCUGCUGUUGUUCCUGUCUAUGGGACGAUGUCGUGUGGGGACUGUAUGACACGAGGUUUUGACAUGAAGUGUGUGGACUGUGAUCUGAUCACCUCCAUCAUGAUGCUGUAACUGGGAGACACUGUGUCUGCAGCCGUCUCCUCAUCAUGGAGGAAGCCCUCCUGUCAGGGAGCAGCAGAUUAACGCCUGUGGUUUUGGAACAUGUUACAUACGUGUCCACAUACUUUUGGCCAUGUAAUGCAGCUCUGCUACAGACAGACACUUUAAUGGUACAGGUAUUUAAAUAUCCAAACCAACAGAGGAAAAAAAUCUCAUGGAUGUUUUACACACGGUUUGUUUUGUUGAGGAGAAGCAGAUCACAGAUCAGAUCUUUUUAAAAUCAAUAAACAUCAACUAUUAAUAAAUCAAUUAUU